GACGGGUGAGUAACGCGUGGGUAACCUGCCUUAUACAGGGGGAGUAACAGUCAGAAAUGGCUGCUAAUACCGCAUAAGCGCACAGUGCUGCAUGGCUCGGUGUGAAAAACUACCGGUGGUAUAAGAUGGACCCGCGUUGGAUUAGCUUGUUGGUGGGGUAACGGCCCACCGAGGCGACGAUCCAUAGCCGGCCUGAGAGGGUGAACGGCCACAUUGGGACUGAGACACGGCCCAGACUCCUACGGGAGGCAGCAUG
rnacentral:rRNA from 1 species